rnacentral:lncRNA from 1 species
CAGGUUUUAAGGAUAUUUCUGCUAAUGCUGUGUGUCUCACAAUUUCCCUGUGAUUUGCCUGUGAAAAUUUCAUCGCAUGACUGUAACGGGCAUCACGAUCCGGUACACGACGGAAGGCUGGCUCUGAUGAUGGCGAUAUGAGAAAGUUUGUAAAAGUAACAACAUGGUAAAUAGAAUUUGGAAAUGAUCCUCUAUCCUGAAGUGCUAAAAAAGGAUCCCUCCAUGAUUUCCUGAAUGUUUCUGUCGUCAAGGUGUAGAAAUUACUUAUGAGAGAGGAACUGAGAGGAAGAAAACACCAGAGUGCUGCUGUUACUGCUGGUGCUAUACCUGAUCCUGAACAGUAGAAACCGUGGUGACUGUGUAUCCUCUUAAAGUUGCUAUGUAAGAGUGAACCUGGUGAAUGGCUUCAAAUCAAGGGUUUUACUCUCAAGCUUUGGAAAAGCAUAUGACCAUCACUGAGGAAGGCAUUCCUAUGGUCCCAGCAUCACAGAGAGUGCCUGACUGGUUGAAGGGGACUUGUGAUCAUCUAGUCUAAUCCCCACCCUGGUCAAGCAGUGUCAGCUACAGCUGGUUGCCCAGGGCUAUGUCCAGUUGUGUUUCGGAUAUCUACAAAGUUGGAGACACCAUGACCUCUGUGAGUAACCUGUGGCAGUGUUUGACGAUCUU